AGCCGGGCACCAGUAACCUGCAAGAGACCAGCAAGGGCAGAGGCAGGGAGGGAGAGAGGUGGGCAGAGGAGAGAGAAAGAGAGAGAGAAAGAGGAGAGAGAGGAGAGAGAGCGAGAGAGGGAGAGAGAGAGGGAUAUAGGUGGGCAGAGGAGAGGGAGAGAGAGAGAGGGAGAGAGAGAGGUGGGCAGAGGGAGAGAGAGAGAGAGGUGGGCAGAGGAGAGAGAGGGAGAGAGAGAGGUUGGCAGAGGAGAGAGAGAGAGAGAGAGGUGGGCAGAGGAGAGAGAGAGAGAGAGAGGUGGGCAGAGGAGAGAGAGAGGUGGGGAAACCAGGGA
ensembl:lncRNA